GUGAGCGGGCCCUGAAGCGCCAUUGAAAACAUGGCCAAGAACAGCACCGGCUCCACCGUCACCCGGCCGGUAUAGCAGCGCCGAAGCCUCGGCUUAUCCGAGUGGUCGGCGCCCAUGUCCGGGCACACCACGUCAGGUGUUCUAUCUUGCCAUUUCCCAGAAUGCUCCUUGAAAUGAGGUCUCGUGAGAUUGUUUUUCAUAUUUAAUGUGGUGAAGGGAGCACGAUAGGGAUACUUGAAAAAGGAGGCGUGUCCUCUGAAACGUCGUCAGUGUCAAUGCAAGCUCCACUCUGUUCCCCUUCGUGAGAGGAAGGAUCUUUGGCCAGAGGAAGCCUUGAGCAUGGGCUGAAAAAAUUCCAGCUAUAAGAAGAGUGUCUAGCAUAGAAGGUGUACCUUGGGUGAUUUUGUACUAUCUAUGAAAUUAGAACUGUGGAUUUAAAAUUAUUCACUAAAGCAAGCUAAAAAAAAACCUGUGAAUUGUGUGUGGCGUUUAGUUCUUUUUUUUCAGAAUAAACAUU